CCUACGGGUGGCAGCAGUGAGGAAUAUUGGUCAAUGGCCGGAAGGCUGAACCAGCCAAGCCGCGUGAAGGACGAAGGUGCCAAGCAUUGUAAACUUCUUUUGUCAAGGGACAAAAUCAGGCUCGAGAGCCUGACCGAGGGUACUUGAAGAAAAAGCAUCGGCUAACUCCGUGCCAGCAGCCGCGGUAAUACGGAGGGGGCAAGCGUUAUCCGGAUUUACUGGGGGUAAAGGGUGCGUAGGUGGUAGGGCAAGUCAGAUGUGAAAGCCCGGGGCUCAACCCCGGUACUGCAUUUGAAACUGUCCAGCUGGAGUGCAGGAGAGGUAAGCGGAAUUCCUAGUGUAGCGGUGAAAUGCGUAGAUAUUAGGAGGAACACCAGUGGCGAAGGCGGCUUACUGGACUGUAACUGACACUGAGGCACGAAAGCGUGGGGAGCAAACAGGAGUAGAUACCCCAGUAGUC
rnacentral:rRNA from 1 species